CAGUAGCCUCGGUAAUACAGAGGGUGCGAGCGUUAAUCGGAUUUACUGGGCGUAAAGCGUGCGUAGGCGGCUUCUUAAGUCGGAUGUGAAAUCCCUGAGCUUAACUUAGGAAUUGCAUUCGAUACUGGGAAGCUAGAGUAUGGGAGAGGAUGGUAGAAUUCCAGGUGUAGCGGUGAAAUGCGUAGAGAUCUGGAGGAAUACCGAUGGCGAAGGCAGCCAUCUGGCCUAAUACUGACGCUGAGGUACGAAAGCAUGGGGAGCAAACAGGAUUAGAUACCCCUGUAGUCCCUGUCUCUUAUAC
rnacentral:rRNA from 1 species